rnacentral:sRNA from 1 species
UAUUCUACCCUACGGGGAAGGAUGAGAAGCUUCGACUAAGGUUCGACUCGAGCGCCAGCGAGAGAACGUUGCCGCAGGCAACGGCCUGAAGGGCGAGGAGCGAUAGCGACGAGUUAUCCUUCCCCCACCACCA